GACGAACGCUUGCGGCGUGCCUAAUACAUGCAAGUCGAGCGGCAGCACGGUCUUCGGACUGGUGGCGAGCGGCGGACGGCUGAGUAACGCGUGGGAACGUGCCCCAAAGUGAGGAAUAACUGCCCGAAAGGGUGGCUAAUGCCGCAUAUGAUCUUCGGAUUAAAGGAUUUAUCCGCUUUGGGAGCGGCCCGCGUUAGAUUAGGUAGUUGGUAGGGUAAUGGCCUACCAAGCCGACGAUCUAUAGCUGGUCUGAGAGGAUGAUCAGCCAGACUGGAACUGAGACACGGUCCAGACUCCUACGGGAGGCAGCAGUGAGGAAUCUUCCACAAUGGGCGAAAGCCUGAUGGAGCAACGCCGCGUGAAGGAUGAAGGCCCUCGGGUCGUAAACUUCUUUUAUAAGUGAAGAAUAUGACGGUAACUUAUGAAUAAGCACCGGCUAACUACGUGCCAGCCGCCGCAGUAA
rnacentral:rRNA from 1 species